rnacentral:rRNA from 1 species
GAUGAACGCUAGCGGCAGGCUUAAUACAUGCAAGUCGUGGGGCAGCAUGAAUGUAGCAAUACAUUUGAUGGCGACCGGCAAACGGGUGCGGAACACGUACACAACCUUCCUAUAAGUGGGGAAUAGCCCAGAGAAAUUUGGAUUAAUACCCCGUAACAUAACGAUGUGGCAUCACAUUGUUAUUAUAGCUUCGGCGCUUAUUGAUGGGUGUGCGGCUGAUUAGAUAGUUGGCGGGGUAACGGCCCACCAAGUCUACGAUCAGUAGCUGAUGUGAGAGCAUGAUCAGCCACACGGGCACUGAGACACGGGCCCGACUCCUACGGGAGGCAGCAGUAAGGAAUAUUGGUCAAUGGACGCAAGUCUGAACCAGCCAUGCCGCGUGAAGGAUUAAGGUCCUCUGGAUUGUAAACUUCUUUUAUCUGGGACGAAAAAAGGCUUUUCUAAGUCACUUGACGGUACCAGAUGAAUAAGCACCGGCUAACUCCGUGCCAGCAGCCGCAGUAAGAC